rnacentral:rRNA from 1 species
GACGAACGCUGGCGGCGUGCUUAACACAUGCAAGUCGAGCGGUAAGGCCCUUUCGGGGGUACGAUGAGCGGCGAACGGGUGAGUAACACGUGGGUGACCUGCCCUCAGCUCUGGGAUAAGCCUGGGAAACCGGGUCUAAUACCGGAUAUGACUCCAUGACGCAUGUUGUGGGGUGGAAAGCCUUGUGCGGCUGAGGAUGGGCCCGCGGCCUAUCAGCUUGUUGGU